ACCCUGGUUGAUUAAUGGUAAAUCGCCCACACCUCUUGACUAGAAAACUGUCGAGCAGAUUGAUGUGAGAGACCGAGGUUCGAAUCCUCCCUGGGGCA